rnacentral:sRNA from 1 species
AAAAUUUACAAAAAAAAAAACAGAAAAAAAAC